ACCUCGUUGGUGUAGUGGUAGCACACGUCACUGGUAUGAAUGAAACGCGGGUUCGACUCGCGUUUGGGGUC